CCCUGAAGCUGAAAUAUCUGAGCAAGAGAGACAGUCAUCACCUGACUACUGAGAGCGCCCUUGUCCGUCUUCCUUCUCUCCAGUGACUCUAAGUUCCCAGCCAACCUUCAGCCAUGAAAAUCCUUUUCCUGCUGUUUGCCGUGGUCUUCUUGGUGCUCAUGGAUGCCCCAGGGUUCUCCCAGGCUCAGCUGACCCGAAAGGAAUGUUCGCGCCGUGCGGGAUCCUGUUACCUUAGACGAUGUCCCAUCAAAUCUCUAUACCUUGCAAGAUGCCAUCCCCGUGGUGUUUGCUGUCGAAAAUGGUAUGACUGAUUGUCGAGGCAGGAUCUCUUGGAAUCUGGCACACAGCCACUUGCUUCUAAAAUCAUCAGAUCCUGCUUCAAUGGAACCCUGAAAUGCUGUUCAUUUGGGCUAUAAGGAACCUUUUGAGGUGGAGAAAUUCCAGAAGGGAACCCUUGAAUCUCCCAUAUA